GACGAACGCUGGCGGCGUGCUUAACACAUGCCAGUCGAACGGAAAGGCCCCUUUGGGGGUACUCGAGUGGCGGACGGGUGAGUAACACGUGAGUAACCUGCCCUUGACUUCGGGAUAACUUCAGGAAACUGGGGCUAAUACCGGAUAGGAAUCCUUGCUGCAUGGUGGGGGUUGGAAAGCUUCGGCGGUUUUGGAUGGACUCGCGGCUUAUCAGCUUGUUGGUGGGGUAGUGGCUUACCAAGGCUUUGCCGGGUAGCCGGCCUGAGAGGGCGACCGGCCACAUUGGGACUGAGAUACGGCCCAGACUCCUACGGGAGGCAGCAGGGGGGAAUAUUGCACAAUGGGCGGAAGCCUGAUGCAGCAACGCCGCGUGCGGGAUGACGGCCUUCGGGUUGUAAACCGCUUUCAGCAGGGGCGAAGCUUGUGGUGACGGUACCUGCAGAAGAAGCACCGGCUAACUACGUG
rnacentral:rRNA from 1 species